AUAUCAAUAAGCGGAGGAAAAGAAACCAACAGGGAUUGCCCUAGUAACGGCGAGUGAAGCGGCAACAGCUCAAAUUUGAAAUCCGGCCCUCGCAGGGUCCGAGUUGUAAUUUGCAGAGGGUGCUUCGGCGUCGGCCCCGGGCCAAGUCCCCUGGAACGGGGCGUCCUAGAGGGUGAGAACCCCGUACCCACCCGGGUGCCCUUCGCCGUGUGAAGCCCCUUCGACGAGUCGAGUUGUUUGGGAAUGCAGCUCUAAGCGGGAGGUAAAUUUCUUCUAAAGCUAAAUACCGGCCAGAGACCGAUAGCGCACAAGUAGAGUGAUCGAAAGAUGAAAAGCACUUUGGAAAGAGAGUUAAAAAGCACGUGAAAUUGUUGAAAGGGAAGCUCUUGCCGCCAGACUUGCCGCGGUUGCUCGGCCGCCCUCCGGGGCGGUGUACUCUUCCGUCGGCGGGCCAGCGUCGGUUCGGGCGACCGGAUAAAGGCCUCGGGAAUGUAGCACCCCUCGGGGUGUGUUAUAGCCCGGGGCGCAAUGCGGUCAGCCCGGUCCGAGGCACGCGUUCGCGAGGACGCUGGCGUAAUGGCCGCAAGCGACCCGUCUUGAAACACGGACCAAGGAGUCUAACAUCUGUGCGAGUGUUUGGGCGUCAAACCCAUGCGCGUAAUGAAAGUGAACGGAGGUGGGAACCCCCCUCGAGGGGCGCACCAUCGACCGAUCCUGAUGUCUUCGGAUGGAUUUGAGUAAGAGCAUAGCUGUUGGGACCCGAAAGAUGGUGAACUAUUCCCGGAUAGGGUGAAGCCAGAGGAAACUCUGGUGGAGGCUCGCAGCGGUUCUGACGUGCAAAUCGAUCGUCAAAUCUAGGAAUAGGGGCGAAAGACUAAUCGAACCAU
rnacentral:rRNA from 1 species